rnacentral:rRNA from 1 species
AAUAUUGCACAAUGGGGGCAACCCUCAUGCAGCUACGCCGCGUGGGUGAAGCAGCAUCUCGGUUUUUUAAGUUCUACCAGCAGGGGAGCUAAUGACGGUACCUGACUAAGAUGCCCAGCCUAACUACGUUUCAGCAGCCGCGGUAAUACGUAGGGGGCAAGCGUUAUCCGGAUUUACUGGGUGUAAAGGGAGCGUAGGUGGUUCGGUAAGUCAGAUGUGAAAGCCCGGGGCUCAACCCCGAGACUGCAUUUGAAACUAUCGAACUAGAGUGUAGGAGAGGUAAGUGGAAUUCCUAGUGUAGCGGUGAAAUGCGUAGAUAUUAGGAGGAACACCAGUGGCGAAGGCGGCUUACUGGACUAUGACAGACACUGAGGCUCGAAAGCGUGGGGAGCAAACAG